GCGGAAAAAAACUCCCGCGGCAUGAGUUUCGCCGCCAUUUUGCAUCAGCCCUGUUUGAGUGUGAGCGCAGACACGGCGGGAUCUGGCCACUUUAUUCUCUUUCGGCUCGUUUCCCUCUGGAUUUAUCCCAACAUAAUCUGAGAUAUUACCGGACAGAUCACAAAGACAUGGCCACAGAGCAUAUAAAUGGGAAUGGUACGGAUGAACCGGUGGAUUCUUCGACUGCAAUUUCUCAUUCAGAGCACUUCCAGACGCUGCUAGACGCGGGCUUACUGAGAAAAGUUGCUGUCAAACUAGAUGAAAUUUACAUAGCAGGUCUCGUUUCACACAGUGAUCUUGAUGAUCGAGCGAUUGAAGCACUUAAAGAGUUCAACGAAGAGGGUGCGCUGCAAGUUCUCCUGCAGUUUAAAGACAGUGACCUCUCACACGUUCAAAAUAAAAGUGCCUUUCUGUGUGGCGUAAUGAAGACAUACAGACAGCGGGAGAAGCAGGGGACCAAAGUGUCAGAUUCCACCAAAGGACCAGAUGAGGCCAAAAUCAAAGCUUUGCUUGACAGAACUGGUUAUACACUUGAUGUCACGACUGGUCAAAGGAAGUAUGGUGGCCCUCCUCCGGGCUCUACCCAUGCAGGAGUACAGCCCACCGUUGGCACAGAGAUUUUUGUGGGAAAAAUCCCAAGAGAUCUGUUUGAGGAUGAGCUGGUGCCUCUGUUUGAGAAAGCUGGACCCAUAUGGGAUCUCCGUCUGAUGAUGGACCCUCUCAGUGGACUCAACAGAGGAUAUGCCUUUGUCACCUUCUGCACUAAAGAUGCUGCUCAGGAGGCAGUCAAACUCUGUAACAACAAUGAAAUUCGACCGGGUAAACACAUUGGUGUGUGCAUCUCUGUUGCCAAUAAUCGUCUUUUUGUGGGGUCAAUCCCCAAGAGCAAAACUAAGGACCAGAUAGUUGAGGAGUUUACCAAAGUGACUGAGGGCUUGAAUGAUGUCAUCUUAUACCAUCAGCCCGAUGACAAAAAGAAGAAUCGAGGCUUCUGCUUCCUAGAGUACGAGGAUCAUAAAACAGCAGCUCAGGCGCGCCGCAGGUUAAUGAGCGGUAAAGUGAAGGUUUGGGGGAAUGUGGUUACUGUAGAAUGGGCUGACCCCAUAGAAGACCCCGACCCUGAGGUCAUGGCAAAGGUCAAAGUCCUUUUUGUCAGAAAUCUUGCAAGCACAGUAACUGAAGAACUUCUAGAGACGACAUUCUGUCAGUUUGGCAAACUGGAAAGAGUUAAGAAGUUGAAAGACUACGCUUUCAUCCAUUUUGAGGAGAGAGACGGGGCUGUAAAGGCAUUGGCUGAAAUGCACGGGAAAGAUUUAGAAGGAGAACCAAUUGAAAUUGUCUUUGCAAAGCCGCCUGAUCAGAAGAGGAAAGAGCGAAAGGCCCAGAGACAAGCUGCUAAAACGCAAUUGUAUGAUGAAUAUUAUUACUACGGGCCACCACAUAUGCAUCCUCCAACAAGAGCACGAGGCAGAGGCGCUCGAGGUUAUUCAUAUCCACAAGACUAUUACAGCUAUGAAGAUUAUUAUGAUUACUACGGCUAUGACUAUCACAACUACAGAGGAGGAUAUGAUGAUCCGUACUAUGGCUACGAAGACUUUCAAGCUCACGUGAGAGGAAGAGGCAACAGAGGGGUCCGGGGCCUUUCACUGACCAGAGGCCGCGGCUCCACCGCUACCCGAGGACGAGCCGGUUUCUCUCAGCGUGGAAGUGCAGGGUUCAGCCGAGGUGGCCGUGGCUCUAGAGGAGGCUUCCAACAGAGAUGUCGACUGGUACGUGAUGCGUGGAUGGAGCAGUCUUGGAACAAUGACAGGAGGUUUUAAAACGCUGUAGGCUAGAUGUUGGUCUAUUUGGGGUAUUUUUUGUCAUGGAAAUUUGUAUUUGCCCUUUUAUCAUUGUUUUCAUGACAAAAGACCAGGUGAUCAAAAUACUUGUUUUGGCUUUUGUUUCCUCCCCUUUUCAAAUUGCUUACACAUGCAAGGCACCUUGUGGACGAAACGGACCAAAGGGAAAGGGGGUCGAGGCUGGUCCUGACCAGGUAGUAUGAAGACUGAUUGUAUGGGGGUUACACCAGAUGCUACCAGUUUUCAUAAGGUUAUGGUAGACUCCAAUGAUAUUCCAGCCUCGAUUAAAGCAUAUCUCCUGUACUGCCACUCCUGACAAACCAUAAGAGUUCUGUAGUCACAAUCUUGCACUUGCAGGGUUUUGUUAAAUAUGGAGUCCAGCUUUAAAAAAGAAAAGAAAAAAAACCUACCCCCCCUGGUUAUAAUCUCCAAGCCUAAAUAUGCCACAAUUGUUUUAAUUGAAUUUAACAUUCUCAAGGAUAUGUUAAAUGUUUUUGCACUUCUAUUUUUUUCUUUCCUACUCCUGGGUUUGAAGUGGCUCAAAGGAGCUUGAUGCUGAUGUAUAUUUUAGUGCUAACUACAAAUUUGUUGUCGGAAUAUCCAUGUAACCCAAAAUGUUUGGAUUUGGAUGGAGAACAUCUGCAGGUUUUUGGUGUAACCGCCUCGCAUGGAUAAGUCAGGCAUUCCAGGAACGUGGUUCUUUUGAGAACUAGUCUUUUAAGGGUCGGUUAACUACCUCAGUAGAGAGGAUUGAACUACCCUGCCUGUACUGUACAUAGAGACACUUAAACACAUAGGAGCAGGGCUUGUUUCUAAUGAAAUAUGCACGAGGGCAGCAGAUAAUGUAAUAUAGUCAAACGGCUGCUGCGCUCAUAUUGCAAACAGUGAAACUGGGCAAGCAAACGAGUCUCAUAUGAUGAGCUGGAACAAGCCCUGCUUUUAUCCCAUUUUCAACUGAAUUAGCUGCUUUGCUUCUUCAGAUUAUGUAGUUACUGGGUGUAUGAUUGUAUGAUAGUUUGGAUUAUAAUGUUACUUUUUGUAUUGGCUUAAACAUCUCAAAUGCAUCCGCUGCAUUUGCAAAGCCCUGCAGUAUCCUUUUUUUUUUCUUUCUAUAAAUACCAGUUCAGCUCUCUGAAGAACAAUGAAUUAUGUUCCGUUCCAUCAACUUGGAGGUUUUUAAUCAAUCAUGAACUUUGUCGAGCGAUCAUUCCCGUGGUCACAUUUACAGGCAAGAUAUGAAACGAGUUGUGUAUAAAGUGGAUACUGCAGUUUUGGUUUAUAUUCCAUAUAUAGCAAGCAAGUGACCGAACCAUUGAACCGGUUUUGUACACAGUUUACUCCCUCUCGAUAAAGCUGUAACAUUGCAACCUUUUGAAAUGAUGUAAACAGUUUUAAUCUAUUGUUGGUGGCCAACAUGUUUUUGCAUUCCAGCAAAUAAAUUGUUUUAUACUGUAAAAUGAGGUGAGUGUAACUUAUUUUUGUAAUAAAGGUUUUGAAUUCU